rnacentral:rRNA from 1 species
UCGGCAACGGAUAUCUCGGCUCACGCAUCGAUGAAGAACGUAGCAAAAUGCGAUACUUGGUGUGAAUUGCAGAAUCCCGUGAACCAUCGAGUUUUUGAACGCAAGUUGCGCCCGAAGCCUUUUGGCUGAGGGCACGUCUGCCUGGGCGUCACAC